ACUAGCUACUGCCGCGGUGUAAGAUUCAACAUAUAAAAUGGAACAAUAACUUCAGCGUUUGCCUCGUAUAGGAAACGUUUUCUUAACCGUUAACUGCCCCUGUGCAGUCAUGCAACGCGUCAGACAUUACAGACACUGUCACGAUGAUCUCCAAUUUGUGCCAAGGCGUAUGAGCCAACUAUCGUUCAAAUCAGAAUUUUUUUACUGAACAGUCGCAGAGUCGUGAUUCGAAAUUCUGAUACGAAUAGAAAACGCAUAGCAGGCAGUUAAUUUGCAUUUCGCUGUACCAAUUGAGAUGUAAUCUGAAUCGUUUAGCAAUGUUUGCUGAACGUAUGAUUAGAGUUAGGCUGUCAGGCUUUAAUGUGUACCGGCUCUGCAAUUAACGAUAAUCCGAUUAAGGCCAAUUGGGCACGAGCGCUUGUUCUCGCUCCAAUAAAGCUGAUUACGAACAGUAGAAUAAAUAGUUACAGUCGUCAGCGGGAAACGCAAGUUUCGCGAACACCUUAAACUUAAAACGUACGAAUUUGUUUUCCUCGGACGAGAAAAUCGAGUCGCGUGGUUCGCAGUGUUGGGAAAUUUAAAACUGGUGUUGUCAAUGUGAUUAUUUUAGUGGGCUGAAUUUAGAAUGGAUUUUCAAAUGGAUUUAGAAUUGUACGAAGCGUUAGAGAAAUCGAAUCUAAGAUUGGAAUUAGUUUUAUAGCAUUCGUCGAGAAGAGCGAAAAACGUUCAAUAAACAUAGAUUUUACAAUCGAUCCUUUCAAUGCUAUAUUAAAUCUUAUUUCGUUGUAAAGCAGCACGAUAUUUAAAUUCAACAUCUGCUAUUUAAUUUUUGAAUUUCUACAUCUUAUAAUAUUAAAAGCUUUAUCGAACCUAUUCCUAUUUUCGCACGUGUCAGUAUAUUCGAUAGGAAAAAUCGAUAAAAUUAUAUAAAUACAUUUAGUAAAAAAGAAGUGUAUGGAUUAGAUUUGAAAAUUUUGUUCCAUAAUUAGAUGAUCGAUGAACAACGUCGUGCAAAGUAUCAGCAUGUGAAUUUAUUUGCAGAAUUGCCACUAUGUUUACUAAUAACAUAAUGGAAAUGCGUAAAAUAGUUCAGCUAUUAUAUUUUCUACAAUUUGAUAUUAUACAUUUAGUUAGGUAUUUCAUUUUUUUAAUGUAAAUUAAUGUAAUAUUAAUCCAAUUUGCGUAAACAGAAGAUCAACCGUGGAAUAGUUGUGAUACGUAUAUUAACAGAAUUAAAUCGUACGUUAAAAAGUGGAAAGCCUGCUGUCUUCAAAAACAUUAUUCGCUUGUCUUAUAACUGUAUGUCUCUACAACUUGAAAUUACAAGUUGAACUAGAUACUUUGCCUUUAGAAACAAUGGUUGGUAAAAAUGGCUUUACUUAUCAGAAUUAAACCGCGCAAAAGAUAAGGUUAUAUCAUUCGAAGAAAUAGCAUGUUCUUUAAUUGUAACAUCGGUAAUUCAUGCGUGAAAGUGAAAACUAACUUUCGACUUAUACAACACGUGAUUACGUAUAAUGUAACAUAGAAGAAGAUUGGAAUAAAUGUGAAGUUAACGAUAAUACAUGAUAAUAAAUAACGUAUCAAACUCUGAUAUGUACGAUACGAUCGUUAGAUGUAAUCUUGUGCUGUUUCAUUGCACGCAAGAUGUCACGUGAAAUAGUAAUUUGACAAAACACAUUGUUAAGUGGAAUUGUUACUGCUAAAAUUAUUGGUGACAGUAAUAGCAGUAAAUCAAGGAGAAUAGUAAAAGCCACAUUGUUUUCAAGUGCUUUCUAUUAUGCAAUACGGACACGACUCGUUAUUUUAUGCGAAAAAUACGAUAGAAGGCAAAUAUCGUACGACCGAGACAAAAGAGAACCUUUCUUUCCUUCAAACUACACGAUACUAAAAAAAAAAAAAAGAAAAAUGCUAUACGUAUAUAUUGAUACAUUGCUGAACGAUGGAGGGAUCGAGAAGAAGAGGCUUUUUGGUUGCCUAAAUGUAAAACAAUAACACGAUAACGAUAUUAUAAGAACUGAUGGCUCGAUUAGGAGCUCUUGUAAUCUUCGCAUAGUAUCGCAUGGUAUACGUAUGUUUGUAUUGGCAAAGUAAAGCGAUUGUCAUAUUGCGACAGUGGUUUGUCAAACUCAUCGACAGUCCUGGCCAACCGAGUCAGCUGGUUGGGAUUAUUAUCAUUAACCAAUGACACUAUACACAAAUUUCCAACCGCAUUACAAUUAUAGUUAUUUUCCUAAAUGGUAAGAUUGAAAACAAAGCGAAUAUUAUAUGUUCUUCAAGACGCUCGUUCAUCGGUAAGAGAACGUCAAAUACAGGAAAAUUGAAUCAAUUGCACGACAUAAUACAAAAAUAAAACUCAUCUCUCUAAAAUACCGUUUCUAAUUGAAAUUUCUCUCGUAUUCCUACUAUCCUCGUUUCCCUGUCGUAUAGUAUCAAUUAAGGGUUAAACAUUGCACUUUGAAACAUUCAAACAUCGUAUCAUCGUAUCACAACUAAUUACUGGAAUACGAAGUAACAAUUAAUAGCAGUCGCUAGAUAAGCAUCGGGCAAUUAGAAAUGACCGUAACACAUUUGCCAACGUAACACCAAGUACCGAAACUUCGUGGUCCCAGAAAGUUUACACCCUUUUCAUCCGGCGAACACAUCGUCUGAGUUAACGAGAGACAACUUCGGUGACUGAGAUAUUUAUAAACGUGAUUCGUAGUGGGAGAACGAGUGGUAACGUAACAUUGGCAAGUCAGGUAAAAGUGGAAAAGCAAAGAAAACAGAGUUAGUGGAGAAUGCACGUCGCUAUCAUUCGCGUGUUUAUUACGAUUUAUUAACGACUGCCACGGAAGCAUAUGCGAUUGUAGGACGAGUGAAAUGAACAGUAGCCGAAUUAACGAGUCGGUCAACGUUAAUUAUGUGCCUACAUCGUGAAAACAACUCGGUAUAAUUUUGGUCUGUUUUGUGAGAGAUUGAAAAUGUCAUGACAGGAACUACGGAUAUAUUUGUGAGUAUAAAUGAAUAUACGUUUCUAUUUGGUCGUUGGCUAUUGCUUUUUCGUGUGAAAUCGUUAUUUUGCAGUUUGAUUAGGUUAUGUUAUCGAGCACGAGGCUACGCGCGAAUACAAAGCGCGUGCGUGUAUGCGUUUACAUGUGUACACGGCGAGCAUGUGAAAUGUUACCGGUCGCCAACUUACACAUCUGUUGCAUAAUUUCUUAUGCAUCGCUAUGUAUAAUCGUGUAUUACUAAGUAUAAUCGUGUAUUUCUAUGUAUAAACAUAAAUAUUAUUAUGUACAACCGAGUGUUACACCCGAUGCAUGGUGCAUUAUAUCGGGUAAUUGUUUCUUUCUUUCUUCUUUCUUAAAUUCAUUUGUUAUUUCGCCAGUGAUUCGUUUUGUGGUGUAUAUACAGCAGAUUGUUAUGCGAACGAUUAAUCGUAUCAGAGCUGUUAUUGCGUAUUUUCAUCAUCCCAGUAAUAGACCGACCUGCUUUGAUAUAACGUAACCGAGUGUAAUACAUUCGAUACUAAGAUUAAAUUUCAUUAGGGAAACAGAACGUAGAUGAUUUAAAUACGGCGUGAAAUUAAUUACGUGUACGUUUUCGUUCAUUUAAAUUUAUCGAAGGUUUGAUUCUGUCGGAAUAUAAUAAUCGAAAAGAAAAGAAAAACACUCUUCCCAAAGUAAGCAUGACCGGAGACCCACAAUGCAACUUUUUGCACAAAUCUGAAUUAAACGACAAAAAAAAUUAUCAGUUUUUAAAUAACUGGCGUUUUGCUACAGUUAUAUUAGUAAGAUGCUCGAAAUAUGGCUGAUACUUAAACGAUUUUAACACAUGAGAGUCAGAUCGCGCGUACUACGCGUAACCAUAAAAGCAAUGUCUGUAAAAAUGACGCCCACAAAGUUACGUCCAUAAAAACUGCGUACACGCACCGCGAUUAUCAUCCAAGUAAUAAAAACGCAAUUUUUAAACACUUGCAAUGGAAACGAUGUCAGACGUGCUCACGUCUGAUUGAAUUUGAAUUACACGCGUACAUGUGUAAGAACGUGAAUGAAUCAGUUUUCUAUUUCAGUUUCAUUUAACACUUUCCGCUUUGAUUUCCGAGAAACGCAAGAGGCAAACGAACGACUGUUAUCGCAGCCGGAAAAUAUUGGGUUGGUAAACUCCGGAUUCUGUCAAUACCGUUUAAUGACAAAAUCCGCAAUCACUUAGUUGCCAACCCAAUAGUUCUAGCCAAUGUACGCAACAGUACGAUGAUUCCUUGCGUCGUGAGCCAGAACGAAAUCUUAUUCGAUAUAGUUGGGGCAAGUACGUUAGAAAUCGAGCACUACUGUACACAUUCGCAGAAAUUAUAGAUACGGUGUGGGUGUACCCGGAGAAGCAGAUGCAAGGAGGGAAAAUGAUUUCUGCGAAACGUUUCCCUACUCAGGAAAUUUCAAACGAAAAAAUGUUUCCAUCCGUGAGAGAUCGUUGAAAAUACGACAGUUUUAGUAGGAAACGUUGAAAUAGAGGGAAAACAAAGAGAAAAAGAAUUACCGCGAUAAAGGAAGCUAUCCUUCAAGAAAUUAAAGAUAGCACAAAUGCUGGAUUAUGAUCGCAACGUAGUCGAUGUAGCAACAUGGAACAAAAGUAACUAACAGUCGAAGCUGUGCAAUUAUUUUUGUUCAUCUUAAUUUUUAUAUUAUAAUAAAUAUGUAUCAUACAAUAGUUGGCAUUCGAUUGUUCUAACAUUAUAAUUAGGAUAUUUCCUAGAUAGAAUAAGUACAAAAAUAUUAUUGUUCCUGUGUCAGAAUAUUUAAAAUUAAUUCGUUACAUUUAAACAUGUAACAAGGAGAAUUAGAAGUGUUUAUAUA